AAGGAAGGUGACAGGCAAUGGCCAGAAAAUAAAUAAACUGAACUUUAUUUUGGUCUGAAUAGUAGGACACUAGAGGGAGUGUCUGUCCUUUUCCUUCCAAAGACUUCUCGGAAGACGAAAGUGAAAUAAUUUCCUGCAAGCAGUGAGUUAAAUGCAGCUGAUAUUUAAUCACCCAGAGUCACUGGAGGUGCACAAACACAGCCCUGAGUCACCAGGCUGACUUAGCACCCUGACCUCUGCUCUGCUGGCUGCUCCCACUGCCUGGGAGGGCUUCUCUCCUUCCCUGUUUUCCAUCCCCAGGGGAUGACCUGGGUUUGGGACAUUUGGGAGGGUCAGGUUGUUACUAUGGCAACAUCUGACCUCCAACCAAGAUUUAAGGAAGUGAUCUCCACCACUGGACAGUGAAGAAGGAGCCAAUGGACAGAACUUUGGGAGAGGCCAAAGGGUUAAAAGUACCAACAGGCACAGAGACACAGAAUCCUCCCCAAAGCUGGAAAAAGCCCCAAGUGAGAAGUCAGACACACAGCAUGUGGUGGAACUCAGGAAGAAGCCUACAGGUAGCAGCACAACUUACAAACAACAUUUACUUAUUUCUUGUAAAUCUAUGGCCAGAAAUUCCCUUCCCCACCUCUGGAACCACUCUUAAGCCCUCCAGGUGAGUGAUGUAGAGGGAUACAAUGAAAGGAUUGGCCACUGCUUUGCUGCUCAUGGGGGAAGAUGAGCAAUCCUCCAGGUUCAGAUCUGAACAAACCAGUUAAAGAACAAUUUGCUGCCCCUCUUUGGAGUCUGUUUUUGGUGUUUUACCCUAGAGCAGCA